AUUUAAAUAGUUUAAUAAAAACAUUGGUCUUGUAAACCAAAAAUAAGAAAUUUUUCUUUUUAAAUA
rnacentral:tRNA from 1 species